UGCACGUGAUGUUUUUUCUCACGAUGGUCUUCGUAGGCUGCUGAGCUAUGACGCCGACGCCUUUUUGGCAUAACUGAUGCAGCAAA